rnacentral:rRNA from 1 species
AUUGAACGCUAGCGGCAUGCUUUACACAUGCAAGUCGAACGGUAACAGGCCUUCGGGUGCUGACGAGUGGCGAACGGGUGAGUAAUGCAUCGGAACGUGCCCAGAGGUGGGGGAUAACGCAGCGAAAGCUGUGCUAAUACCGCAUGUGAUCUGAGGAUGAAAGCGGGGGACCAAGCAGCAAUGUUUGGCCUCGCGCCUCUGGAGCGGCCGAUGUCAGAUUAGGUAGUUGGUGGGGUAAAGGCCUACCAAGCCGACGAUCUGUAGCUGGUCUGAGAGGACAACCAGCCACACUGGGACUGAGACACGGCCCAGACUCCUACGGAGGCAGCAGUGGGGAAUUUUGGACAAUGGGCGCAAGCCUGAUCCAGCAAUGCCGCGUGCGGGAAGAAGGCCUUCGGGUUGUAAACCGCUUUUGUACGGAACGAAAAGGCUCUGGCUAAUACCUGGGGCUGAUGACGGUACCGUAAGAAUAAGCACCGGCUAACUACGUG